rnacentral:rRNA from 1 species
ACGGAGAGUGCAAGCAUUAAUCGGAAUUAUUGGGCGUAAAGGGCGCGUAGGCGGAAAGAUAAGUCAGAUGUGAAAUACCAAAGCUCAACUUUGGUGCUGCAUUUGAAACUAUCAUUCUAGAGGGUUGACGGAGAAAACGGAAUUCCACGUGUAGCGGUGAAAUGCGUAGAUAUGUGGAAGAACACCAGUGGCGAAAGCGGUUUUCUAGUUAAUACCUGACGCUGAGGCGCGAGAGCAAGGGGAGCAAACAGGA